AUCCGGCUAACGAGUCCCAAAUAGAAGGAAACAUGUGUACUGGAU
rnacentral:hammerhead_ribozyme from 1 species